CCAACAAGAAAAUGCGGUGCCGUGUUGGCAGCUGAGCUGCGCCCGAAGAGACGCAGGGAGACGUAAGAGAGGAAAGUGUGAGUGGCCGGGGGGCCUCCCCCCGUCAGAAGUCGCGCAGUCGCGCCCAUAAAACGCCCCCUCCGGGCGGCUAGGGCAGGGCCUGCCAGUGAAGCGCUUUUCCAAAUUUCCACAGCGGGGGAAGCCUGCGAUUUUACAUAAUGACUUCAGCAUGCCGGGCUUUCUCGACACCCCUCCCCGGCCCCCGGCCCCCGCCCCCCGCCC
rnacentral:lncRNA from 1 species